rfam:Bacillus sp. VT-16-64 NODE_137, whole genome shotgun sequence.
UGGGCGGUAUCAUGGUUUGAACCGCACCUUUGCUAAGCUGUUAUGAUAUGUAUGUCUGCCCGGAUCCAUUUUCGGACAGGGACAGAGGG